UAUGUUCCCUUCUUGUUGUGCUCAGUAACUCCUGCCAGCUAGUAAGCAGCCCUCCUCUGCUGUGAUGUGCUCCUCUUUAACACCUUGGCUCAGCUCUCUGAAUAAUGCAGAAAGGACCAAUGCUUGCUGAUUCAGCACGGAGGACAGAUGCAAAGCAGUGUUUGGAGUUUGGGCCUUAUGGGCAGCUAUAUAGAACACAUGAUGCAAACUUAUAACAAACACAAACCUGUAACAAAAUAAGAGCAACCGCUGAUGUUGGUAGCGUUGUUUGAUGGAUCAAAGAAGCGAUUUCGAUAAGAAGACAUGGACCAUGAACAGGGAAGAAGGAGUAUGCACCUCAGACCAUUCAUAGGACAUCACCUACGGAGAAGGCGCAGUCAGUGGAGGAUGAAGUCAUCUCAAAGGGCCACGUUAAAAUUUUUCUGAGUCAAAGGUCCGUUUGUUAUCAGUUGUCAAUCAACAUGCCUUAAUAAAAUUACCUUGAACAAAACUUGCCUUCUUCAAUCAAAACAGCAACAAGCAUACAAUGUUAUUUCUAUUUAGGAAUAAAAUCAAAGGAAUGCAUCUAAAAUAAAAGCGAUCUGCAGCAGCAGUAGCUCAACAGGUUGAGCAGGUUGUCCAGUAAUCGGAAGGUUGCAGGUUCAAUCCCGGCUCCGGACAGAGAAUUCUGCUGUUGUGUCCUUGCCUGCUGGUGG